UAUUUUGUAAACUUUCAUCAAGGUUACCUUUUCCGCAAAGGUGAACAAUUUGAUAUUUUUUCAGAAGUUCUGGUAACGCGGAUCGAACCGUUUCAUUAAUUUUUUUUGCGCCCAAACUUCCUCCCAUGAUUGUAAUAACUGGCUUUUUACGUGAAAAGCCUAAAAAUGCUAAAC
rnacentral:ncRNA from 1 species